AAGUUUGUGGACACUGAGCCCAUUUGAUGUACAUUUUGCUUUAUAUCUCAAUCAAAAUACCUCAAUCACUCAUUUUUGUGUUGUGGAUUUACCUACAUCAUCAAAAUUGGAUGGGAAUUUUAUGCCUGUUUGUCAAUCUUCCAG